rnacentral:lncRNA from 1 species
UUUUUUUUGAGACGGAGUCUUGCUCUAUCGCCCAGACUGGAGUGCAGUGGUGCGAUCUCCGCUCACUGCAAACUUCGCCUCCCGGGUUCACGCCAUUCUCCUGCCUCAGGCUCCUGAGUAGCUGGGACUACAGGCACCCGCCACCGCGCCCGGCUAAUUUUUUGUAUUUUUAGUAGAGACGGGGUUUCAUCGUGUUAGCCAGGAUGGUCUCGAUCUCCUGACCUCGUGAUCCGCCCGCCUCAGCUUCCCAAAGUGCUGGGAUUACAGGCAUGAGCCACCGCGCCCGGCCCCCGACACCUAGUUUUAAAGGGCCCCUGCUGUUGCUGCCGCUGCCGCCGCUCCCAGCUGCCCAGUCUGGCGGGCUCAGUCCCGCGUUGCCAUGUGUGGGAGACCGCGUCGCGUAAGCGCUGGAUGUGGCUUCGCUGAUGCACAUUGGACCGGGCUCUGGACUGGGCUAGGGGAAGGGCAGGAGGGCGGAAUUGGGCCCGAGGGCCAGGCCUCGCCGACCCCCGACUGCGCCUCCCGGUGGCCCCGCAGCGCCUCCCGGUGGCCCUGGAGUGCAGGUCUUACCGUCCGAGAUCGUCCGCAACUGGGCGAGCUGUGCAUGGGGCGUGGCUAAGGCCGUGGUUUGGUUACGAUUGGCCAGCGGGACUUAAGUGUUGUCUCUGAAGAGCAUGGACAUUAGUCUGGAGGGUCCUGGAAGAGUGAUCCCCGCCCCACCAUCAAAUGGCGCUUAGGUCUAGGAAGCGGGUGUGGGUGGGGCCUUAGGGCGAGGCGCAGACAUACCCCGAAGUGGUUGGAUUGUAUACCGCAAGGGGCUGGAUCGAACCCCCCAAAGACACUGGAAGGCUGUGUGGCUGAGGAGGGCCCGGCAGAUCCAGUGUGUCGUGGGCUUUACAGGAAAGAGCUCCACCUUCUCUGGAGUGUGCAGAUGCGAUCUAGGUGUGUCCACCCGAUGGGAGCUGCGGGCCGGGCAGAUGCUGCCCCAGUACAAAGCUGAUUUGGACCUGGGGCCUCUGGACUUCCCUGAUUCUCUGCUUGCAUCUCCAGCAAAGUCCUGUCCCGUUGGCUGCCUUCAUCCACUCUCUCACUUCUCUGCCUUCAGAGUAAAAUUGCAAGAUCUGUGGUGCUUACUGGGAUCUGAUAGAGUCUCUCGGCAUCCACUGUCUAUGCAGCGGGUGUCCACCUGCAGCGGGGGCCAUGUGCAGCGGGGGGCCACGUGCAGUGUGUGCCUCUUCUUAGCCAUGCUGGACAGCGCCGCCCCUGAAAAGCAGCUCCCCGGUUUCACCCAGAAAGCCAUCCAGAACCUCCUGGAAAAGGUGGCCUGAUGGCCAAGUGGCCUCGGAUGCCAGGCUCAAUCCUUUGAACUUUUCCUGUGGGCUGUCAGGACCCAUAGAAGGUCUUUGAGCAGCUCAUAGGUCUCUGAAUCAAGAGAAGCCACAUCUGGACCUGAUAUAGAAGAGACUAUUAGAGAUCCUGGGCUUGAGGCUGAUUCCAUGUCAGAUGGGUCACUUAGGUGGUCUCCCUUGGGAAGGGGAUGCAUUUAUUUUGCAUAUGGAAGAAAAUGCAAAGGCAGUAUUUGUAAGGAAGAGGGCAGACGGGGGAAGAUUUUAUAAUUGUUCAAAAACAUUCACUGGGAUGUGUGUGGUGGCUCACGCCUAUAAUCCCAGUGCUUUGGGAGGGUGAAGCAGGAGGAUCACUUGAGGCCAGGAGUUUGAGACCAGCAUGGGCAACAUAGUGAGACCCUAUCUCUACAAAAAAU